rnacentral:rRNA from 1 species
GACGAACGCUGGCGGCGUGCCUAAUACAUGCAAGUAGAACGCUGAAGGAGGAGCUUGCUUCUCCGGAUGAGUAGCGAACGAGUAAGUAACGAGUAGGUAACCUGCCUGGUAGCGGGGGAUAACUAUUGGAAACGAUAGCUAAUACCACAUAACAGUAGAUCUUGCAUGAUAUCGGCUUGAAAGGUGGAAUUGCAUCACUACCAGAGGGACCUGGGUUGUAUUAGCUAGUGGGUGGGGUAACGGCUCACCAAGGCGAGGAUACAUAGCCGACCGGGGAGGGGGGUCGGCGACACUGGAGGGGAGACACGGCCCAUGGGCCUGCGAGAGGGAGCAGAAGCGAAUCUGAGGCAAUGGACGGAAGUCUGACCGAGUGACGCCGAGUGAGAGACGAAGGCGUUCGGAUCGGAAAGCUCUGUUGUGAGUUGAGAACGGGUGUGAGCGUGGAAGGUGCUCACUGUGACGGUAUCUGACGAGAAAGGGACGGCUAACUACGUG